UUAUUUAUUUAUUCACUUACAUUUGCAGUGUGCUUUUAUUUAUUUAAGGACAUCACGAUGCCUCGUAGAAUCAUGACUAUAAAUGUGAAAGGUAAUUGUGUGUGUGUAAAGUGUACGAUGCAAAGACAGGUACAUCAGGUGCUGUUUUCUCCUCGGCGUCAUGAGGGGACCAUACAGAAACGUGUAACCCAGACUGCUGCGGUGUGUGUGUGUGUAAAGUGUGUGAGAAACAUGUACCCCAGACUGCUGCGGUGUGUGUGUGUGUGUGUAAAGUGUGUGAGAAACGUGUACCCAAGACUGCUGCGGUGUGUGUGUGUGUGAGUAAAGUGUGUGAGAAACGUGUACCCAAGACUGCUGCGGUGUGUGUGUGUGUGUGUAAAGUGUGUGAGAAACGUGUACCCAAGACUGCUGUGAACCCUAGACUUGGAGUAUGACGCAAGAUGGAGGAUGCUGGGAUGUGGGGAGAGUUUACACUCCUUAGGGUUAGGGUAUCUCACUCCUUAGGUAUGCACUCCCAGUAUCUCACUCCUUAGGUAGCCCAGUAUCU
ensembl:lncRNA